rnacentral:lncRNA from 1 species
GGUGGAGCUAUCUUAUUACAAUAUCACAGGCUUAAAGCUACACUACACGCAGCUGGAUAAUGUAGUAAAUUUGUGCACGUGUGAAGUGCAUCAUGGCGUUAUCAUGGCAGAUUAAGUCACCGGCGACGGCGUAAAGAUGACAUCCAUGUGUACAUUAUUCAGCGCGAUUAUUUGUGGCCAGGCAGAGGAUGGAGUGGAGGCGAAUCGGCCUACCGUUGGCAUCAUGUCUUGCAAGAUCGUUUUUUCUCUCUCUUCUUCUCAGCGGUGCGGUGCAUGAUCGGUUUGCAUCCAGUUCCAUCCAUCCUAUCUCCGCCGUGCUUUCGGCCGUCAACUUGUGUGGUUUAUGCAUCAUCAGAAUGGCGCCUCCUUUUCGGCAAAAAAAAACUCGGACCGAAGAGGAGAACCGCACAUCUCUGAAUCUGGAC